UACGUAGGGCGCAAGCGUUUGUCCGGAAUUAUUGGGCGUAAAGAGCUCGUAGGCGGCCUGUUGCGUCCGCUGUGAAAUCCCGGGGCUCAACCCCGGGCCUGCAGUGGAUACGGGCUGGCUAGAGGCAGGCAGGGGGAGAACGGAAUUCCUGGUGUAGCGGUGAAAUGCGCAGAUAUCGGGAGGAACACCGGUGGCGAAGGCGGUUCUCUGGGCCUUACCUGACGCUGAGGAGCGAAAGCGUGGGGAGCGAACAGG
rnacentral:rRNA from 1 species